rnacentral:rRNA from 1 species
UAAGUGAUUGUUGGUAGUACCUGCUCAGUGCCCUUGAUAGGGGUAAACAGCCGCUGUAUUUUGACGGUGCUAAGGUAGCGAAAUUCCUAGCCUUUUAAUUGGAGGCCUGCAUGAAUGGUUUGACGAGCGCCCGACUGUCUCUUUUUCGUGUAUUUUGAAAUUAGCUUCUGUGUGAAAAGACACAGAUGGUUGAGUAAGACGAAAAGACCCUGUGCAACUUUACUAGGAAAGUGGGUUAACUAUUAUAAAGUUUAGCUGGGGCAGCAGGGGAAAAACUAAAACUUCCCUAUUUAAGGUUUACUGAUGGGUUUUGAUCCAAUUGUUAGAUUGAUCGAUAGAAAAGUUACGCCAGGGAUAACAGCGUUAUCCUUCUGUGGAGGUCUUAUUUGCAGGGGGGAUUGCGACCUCGAUGUUGAAUUAGGGAUAUAGCGGGAAGGCGCAGCGGCUUUUCUUGUAGGUCUGUUCGACCUUUA